rnacentral:pre_miRNA from 1 species
CAUGCACCAGUGGGGUCCCUCAGCCUGGCCUGCACCCUCGCACAAUCAGGGACUCCUUGGGGGAUGUUGGACUACUGGUUUUGGCCUGACCCCCGCAGGCCAGGCUGAGGGACCCCACUGGUGCAUG